rnacentral:lncRNA from 1 species
AUGGGGGAGAACAAGCGCCCCCCGCCCCCCCUGCGGGGCGGGGGGCGCUCCCCCAACCCCUGUCCGGCCCCAGACCGGGUCCUGGCUCUGGCCCGGCCUUGUCAACGGCCACAGCGCCGAGCAGGACCGAGCGGGGCCAUCCCCCAACCGGCCCCAUCAGUCAGGCAGUGCCGCAGCCCUGCCGCAGAGGAGAGGGCUGGGCCAGGCCGGCCGAGCACGAUCAGAGCUGCCGACGCCACUGCGGAGGCUGUUGCAGCAGCAGCUGGACCAGACGGAACUGGACGGGCCGGGCUGGGGGCCGGGAAGGGCAGGCAGAGCAGAGCUGAGCGGAGCAGAGCAGAGCUGGGCAGGCUGGUCAGGGCAUCAGCCGUGGCUACCGUACUGCCGCAUCAGCCUCCAGUGCUCCUCCUGAUCCUCCUGGUCCUCGUCCAUCCGUCCGUCGAGCUGUCCAGGCAGGUGGCAGGUGGCAGCGGUGGCGACUGGGUGGGCAACCCCAAACCCAAGCUGUGUCCAGCUGAGCCAUGGCGGAUGCUCUGUCGCCACCGCUGCCGCAGUCUGCUGUGGACGCCUGCCGCACUGCGCAUUGCGGUACUGCGGGCAGCGGGCACUGCGGCAAAGCGCGUCCACACCCCAUUCGAAUUAGCCCGGGAACCUGGGCCCGGCAUCCAGUGCCUCCUCAGCUCUAACAAUGUUUCCGAUAGUGCCCACGGCCUCCGGUGUGGUCCCAGCGAGGAUGGAGUCAACGCGGGUGCGAGUGGUGCAGAGCCGAACCCGACCAGCUGUCCCUGCUGCCUCCAAAAAAGGGUGUGCAUCUCUGGACUCCCUAGGAAGAAGCUGAGGCAGGACUUGAACUCGUAUCCUAACCCCAGCAUGGAAUAUAACGUGGGAAUACCUUCUAGGCAUGGGGGGGGGGGGGGAUGCCAAGGCAGUGACACAGAGAUGGAGAACGAUGUGUGAAGAGUGGUAAGAAGGACAUUCAGCCGGAUCAUGGAGGGAAUGACGUCUAAUUCGGCAGGAAAGAGAGAGGGGCCCAACGGAGGCCUUGAUCGUUGAUUGUAGAGGUCAGAGGGAGCUCCAAGAAUCGAUCACGUGAGGCUGUUCCACCCCUGCUCACUCUCCCCAGGGCCUGGCCAAACAAGAGCUCCAGCUUCCCCACUCGGGAGUCCAUUCUGGCCCAAAGUUGUCCGUGGGCUUCCUGGGUCGCCAGCCAGUCUGGGGCUCCCUCCCCGUCAUGCCCACUUUGGAAAUUCCUUCCCUCCUAACUUCCGGGGAGGCCCAGCCUUCCUUCCACACGGGGGCUCUUCACAGGUCCCAGGGCAGGGCCUUCUGCCCCGGCCCAAUAAAGGGAGCGAGAGAUGGGGCUGAGGCCA